rnacentral:rRNA from 1 species
GAUGAACGCUGGCGGCGUGCUUAACACAUGCAAGUCGAACGGGAAAUAUUUCAUUGAGACUUCGGUGGAUUUGAUCUAUUUCUAGUGGCGGACGGGUGAGUAACGCGUGGGUAACCUGCCUUAUACAGGGGGAUAACAGUCAGAAAUGGCUGCUAAUACCGCAUAAGCGCACGGAGCUGCAUGGCUCAGUGUGAAAAACUCCGGUGGUAUAAGAUGGACCCGCGUUGGAUUAGCUAGUUGGUGAGGUAACGGCCUACCAAGGCGACGAUCCAUAGCCGGCCUGAGAGGGUGAACGGCCACAUUGGGACUGAGACACGGCCCAGACUCCUACGGGAGGCAGCAGUGGGGAAUAUUGCACAAUGGGGGAAACCCUGAUGCAGCGACGCCGCGUGAAGGAAGAAGUAUCUCGGUAUGUAAACUUCUAUCAGCAGGGAAGAUAGUGACGGUACCUGACUAAGAAGCCCCGGCUAACUACGUGCCAGCAGCCGCGGUAAUACGUAGGGGGCAAGCGUUAUCCGGAUUUACUGGGUGUAAAGGGAGCGUAGACGGUGUGGCAAGUCUGAUGUGAAAGGCAUGGGCUCAACCUGUGGACUGCAUUGGAAACUGUCAUACUUGAGUGCCGGAGGGGUAAGCGGAAUUCCUAGUGUAGCGGUGUAAUGCGUAGAUAUUAGGAGGAACACCAGUGGCGAAGGCGGCUUACUGGACGGUAACUGACGUUGAGGCUCGAAAGCGUGGGGAGCAAACAAGAUUAGAUACCCUGGUAGUCCACGCCGUAAACGAUG